UUCAACAGCAAGAUAAAGUUCCAAUUACCUAGAAGAAAGGCGCUUUUCCAUCCUGAUCGAGCUGAGACAUCUUGCACCUGCAACGAAGGGUAGACAAGAGAAAAGGAAAAGUUGCUCGAAUGCAAACAUCAGGAGACGCAGAUUGGCUGUUAUCAAGUGGAAAAGGAGAUUCAAUAGGGCGAUGAGGAAACUUCUGCAAGAGUUUUUUCAAGUUGAGAUGCUUGUACUUGUUUUUCCAAUGCAGAAAGAACAUCAGAAAUCUCAUGUAGCCUAUCUUGGUAUGC